CUACGGAGGGUGCGAGCGUUAUCCGGAUUUAUUAGGUUUAAAGGGUGUGUAGGCGGGAGCCUAAGUCAGUGGUGAAAUCUCACAGCUUAACUGUGAAACUGCCAUUGAAACUGGGUUUCUUGAGUAUAGUUGAGGUAGGCGGAAUGUGUAAUGUAGCGGUGAAAUGCAUAGAUAUUACACAGAACACCGAUUGCGAAGGCAGCUUACUAAGCUAUUACUGACGCUGAUGCACGAAAGCGUGGGUAGCGAACAGGAUUAGAAACCCCAGUAGUCC
rnacentral:rRNA from 1 species